GAGCACGUAGGUGGGUUUGUAAGUCAGAGGUGAAAGCCUGGAGCUCAACUCCAGAACUGCCUUUGAGACUGCAUCGCUUGAAUCAGGAGAGGUGAGUGGAAUUCCGAGUGUAGAGGUGAAAUUCGUAGAUAUUCGGAAGAACACCAGUGGCGAAGGCGGCUCACUGGACUGGUAUUGACGCUGAGGUGCGAAAGCGUGGGGAGCAAAUAGGAUUAGAUACCCUGGUAGUCCACGCCGUAAACGAUGAUAACUAGCUGUCCGGGCACUAAGUAGAGGGG
rnacentral:rRNA from 1 species